GUGCUCACUUCAGCAGCACAUACACUAAAAUUGGAAUGUCACAGAGAUUAGCAUGACCCCUGCACAAGGAUGACAUGAAAAUUCAUGAAGCUUUCUAUACUAAA